GAGUUUGAUCAUGGCUCAGAGCGAACGCUGGCGGCAGGCCUAACACAUGCAAGUCGAACGGAUCCUUCGGGAUUAGUGGCGGACGAGUGAGUAACACGUGGGAACGUGCCCUUUGGUUCGGGACAACUCAGGGAAACUUGAGCUAAUACCGGAUGUGCCCUUCGGGGGAAAGAUUUAUCGCCAUUGGAGCGGCCCGCGUCUGAUUAGCUUGUUGGUGAGGUAAAGGCGUCACCAACGGACUACGAUCAGUAGCUGGUCUGAGAGGAUGAUCAGCCA
rnacentral:rRNA from 1 species